rnacentral:rRNA from 1 species
GGAUAUGACGCACGGAGGCAUCUCCUGUGCGUGGAAAGAACUUCGGUCAAGGAUGGACUCGCGGCCUAUCAGGUAGUUGGUGAGGUAACGGCUCACCAAGCCUACGACGGGUAGCCGGCCUGAGAGGGUGACCGGCCACACUGGGACUGAGACACGGCCCAGACUCCUACGGGAGGCAGCAGUGGGGAAUAUUGCACAAUGGGCGCAAGCCUGAUGCAGCAACGCCGCGUGAGGGAUGACGGCCUUCGGGUUGUAAACCUCUUUUAGUAGGGAAGAAGCGAAAGUGACGGUACCUGCAGAAAAAGCACCGGCUAACUACGUGCCAGCAGCCGCGGUAAUACGUAGGGUGCGAGCGUUGUCCGGAAUUAUUGGGCGUAAAGAGCUCGUAGGCGGUCUGUCGCGUCUGCUGUGAAAUCCCGAGGCUCAACCUCGGGCCUGCAGUGGGUACGGGCAGACUAGAGUGCGGUAGGGGAGAAUGGAAUUCCUGGUGUAGCGGUGGAAUGCGCAGAUAUCAGGAGGAACACCGAUGGCGAAGGCAGUUCUCUGGGCCGUAACUGACGCUGAGGAGCGAAAGCGUGGGGAGCGAACAGGAUUAGAUACCCUGGUAGUCCACGCCGUAAACGUUGGGCGCUAGAUGUGG